UACGGAGGGUGCAAGCGUUGCUCGGAAUUAUUGGGCGUAAAGGGUAGGUAGGUGGUCUCAUUUGUCUGGGGUGAAAGCCUUGAGCUUAACUCAAGAAGUGCCCCAGAAACGGUGAGACUGGAGUCCUGGAGAGGGGCGUGGAAUUCCCGGUGUAGCGGUGAAAUGCGCAGAUAUCAGGAGGAACACCGAUGGCGAAGGCAGGUCUCUGGGCCAUAACUGACGCUGAGAAGCGAAAGCAUGGGGAGCGAACAGG
rnacentral:rRNA from 1 species